rnacentral:rRNA from 1 species
AACGAACGCUGGCGGCAGGCUUAACACAUGCAAGUCGAGCGCAUCCUUCGGGGUGAGCGGCGGACGGGUGAGUAACGCGUGGGAACGUGCCCUCUUCUACGGAAUAGCCUCGGGAAACUGAGAGUAAUGCCGUAUACGCCCGCCAGGGGAAAGAUUUAUCGGAGGAGGAUCGGCCCGCGCUGGAUUAGGUAGUUGGUGGGGUAACGGCCUACCAAGCCGACGAUCCAUAGCUGGUUUGAGAGGAUGAUCAGCCACACUGGGACUGAGACACGGCCCAGACUCCUACGGGAGGCAGCAGUGGGGAAUCUUGGACAAUGGGGGCAACCCUGAUCCAGCCAUGCCGCGUGAGCGAUGAAGGCCUUAGGGUUGUAAAGAUCUUUCAGCUGGGAAGAUAAUGACGGUACCAGCAGAAGAAGCCCCGGCUAACUCCGUG